GAUGAACGCUGGCGGCGUGCUUAACACAUGCAAGUCGAACGGGAAGGCCCUGCUUUUGUGGGUUGCUCGAGUGGCGAACGGGUGAGUAACACGUGAGUAACCUGCCCUGUACUUUGGGACAACUUCAGGAAACUGGGGCUAAUACCGGAUAUGAGCUCCUGCUGCAUGGUGGGGGUUGGAAAGUUUCGGCGGAGGGGGAUGGACUCGCGGCUUAUCAUGUUGUUGGUGGGGUAGUGGCUCACCAAGACUUUGACGGGUAGCCGGCCUGAGAGGGUGAGCGGGCACACUGGGACUGAGAUACGGCCCAGACACUUACGGGAGGCAGAGGUGGGGAAUAUAGCACAAUGGGCGGAAGACUGAUGCAGAAACGCCGCGUGUGGGAUGACGGCCUUCGGGGUGUAAACCGCUUUCGCCUGUGACGAAGCAUGAGUGACGGUAAUGGGUAAAGAAGCACCGGCUAACUACGUG
rnacentral:rRNA from 1 species